UUUGUUUACACUUGAACUUGAUAGCCUUGAAUAUGUUUCCCUAUUUAAAACUUUCUACCAGUUCACAGUUGGAGUCUUCUUUUAGGACCAACCGUAGAGCUCAUACCAUUUGUCUUCAUAAAUUAUAGAUUAGUCUUCCUACAGUAGAGUCUUCAACUCUUCAUGUGGACCAACAGUUGGAGUCUUCAUAGAUUAGUCUUCUUUCUCUUCAGCUAAGCAGCGUGGAAGAUGUUUGUCGAUUCGUGGAUGACCAUUGAUUUCCUCCUGAAUCAGCGAGCACUGAGAUCAUGAUGCAUAGUUUUUAGUAUUGGUACAGCCAAAGCCAUUGUCCACUGCUUUCAAUUUUUUUUUAUUCUUUUUCCUUUCCUUUUGUCUGGUGAGAAGAAUGCUGACCCUGAAAUCUUGUUUUCUUUGCUAGUAUUCAUAUUUAUGAUUGAAUUGAAUGAUAGGAAGGCUGAACUUUUAGAAUGCAUAUGUCUGGAACAACAUUUAGACAAAUGGGGAGGUGUAGGUAGAAAUGACUUCUAUGGAAUCAUCAGCUCUAUAUACCAGAAGUAUAGCCAUGUCAUAUAAGUGGGUUUCUAUAUAGCCAUUACACUCGUAAUUUUGGUUUUGGAUGUUGCAUUGACAAUCAGGCCAAGGAGCUAGAAAUUAAUGAAAAAUAAGAAAGUUGAUGAUGACUUGAAUAUAUUCCCAUAAUUUUCUUGAUACCAAAUAGAAGGAGUUUACAAGGGACAGCACAGAAUUUUAAUUGUGAGUACAAAAGUUGGAGCUCUAAUGAUGGGCCAUCUGUUAUACAGAGCUCAUAUGGCAUUGUCAUCUGUAUGCUUCACAAAUUUUGUUUCUUCCUGCUCAGCUCAAUUGCAGCUUCAAAAUUCUUGAAGUUUUCCUUGAACAGGUGUCGAUCCAUUCAGUUGGAUCAUCAAGCGUAGACUUGUCUUCAGCAUGACUCAGCAGCUAGUUUCAAAAUGAGGAGGUUUUGGAUCCAAUAUCCACUGCAUUAGUCUUCCUUCACACACUUAAGCUUAAAGUGAGAUCAAGGAAGGUGUCUUGACUGCAAGGAAUUGUGAUACCACCCAUUGGAUGAUGGUGUCCAUAUUCUUCUUCAGCCUGACUCAGCAAAUCCAGAAACAAAGGUUGGUUCAGAUACGAUAUUGGAACCACAAAUCGUUUCUUCUGGUUCUUUCUAACAUAAACUGCAAAAUAGCCUUUUGGGAUAUCUGAUGUCUUUGUUCUGGCAUUUCGUGGUAAUUGGAAACCCAUGGUUUGUAUAUACUGAAGUGACCAAAGAAGAAAGAAAAGAAUUUAGAGGUCUUGGUAAGCAGAGAAAGCUUAAUUUGAUGCUUGCAAUGAGAGAAUGAGUUGAGUUCGGUCAUAAACCUGAUCAUGUGUAUAUAUAGAUGAAAAAAUGGUGUGUGGAAAGGAAAACCAUCUGCAACAUGAAAUGAUUGGUGAAUAGGCACUGAGAUGGGCUCCAGGUAGGAAAACUAGCUUGUGAGAAAUCACAUGGGUUUGUUUUCCUACUCAAAGCACAUGCAAUUGGUACCAACCUGUAUACUUGGAUAGAAACAAUGUUCGAAUUCCCUACAUCCUUUAUUUGAUAUAUAGCAGACAAGCGGAGGACUCUCACAGAUUUUACCCAACAAAUUAUGUUGAAAGAUGAGGCAGUGCUAUGAUAAGAGGCUGCAAAAUGUUAAAGCAGGUAAGUGGUGAAAUGAGUAGUUGAAUGAGGGACACUGGCUUGUGAGAAAUUGUGAAAUCACAUGUGUUUGUCUUGCCAUUCUCAUAAGUUAUUGUCCUCCCAUAGCUUUCAGAUAUAUAUGCUACUGUGGAAACCACGUCCUCCUGUCGAAACAUGCCUUCCCUACUAAGAUUCAUACAUAACAAACAAGAAAGUGACAUCAAUGCUGUCACUUUCUAAGAAACAAUCAGAGGCAUGCAUUAGAAAUCCAGGUCUGUCUAAUACUGAUAAUCAAUGCUGUUGCCAGCAAGAAUUGGUGGUGUAAGCUAUGUGAAUAUGAAUUGUGAGCACCAGUUGUUUGAUGAAAUGAGUCUGAGAAUCUCUGAUAAUUGUUUCCAUCAUGCUUAUUUGAACUGAUCAGUCUGCCUUACACGUAGUUUUGUUCUUCUGCUUACCGAUUUUUCUUUGCAUCUGACUGAGCUAAAUGAACAUUGUUGUUAGUUUCACGAUGGUUAAUGCCAUUGUAUUAAACUUAGCUAUGUGUUCAUACCUGUAACUAUAAGCAGACCUGUUUAUUUGGGUUCGAAUGUAAUGCAAACAAGUUAUAUACUUAUAUGUGAGCUGUAUAUGUGAGUAUUCAUGUAUCGGUAAUGCAAACAAGUUUGGUUUUGAAUGCUGCAAUACCAAUCAGGCUAACAACCUGAAAUUCUUUUCUGCAGAUAUAUAUUGCUGAGAAAGGAUUCCUCUCAUUAAUUUUGGAUGACUGAGUGUCAGAAUGGUACAACGCAUGUCCUGGUUUAGAGCUAUAGACUGUAAGCCACUACACUUUGUUUGUUGUU
rnacentral:lncRNA from 1 species